GCUCGUAGUUGGAUUUGUGGCUGUCGCGUGCGGCCCGGCAUUCGUGCCGGUGCUUGCUAGCGUCGCCAUCCUUGGGUGGAACCUGUGUGGCAUUAGGUUGUCGUGCAGGGGAUGCCCAUCGUUUACUGUGAAAAAAUUAGAGUGUUCAAAGCAGGCUUAUGCCGUUGAAUAUAUUAGCAUGGAAUAAUAAGAUAGGACCUUGGUACUAUUUUGUUGGUUUGCGCACCAAGGUAAUGAUUAAUAGGGACAGUUGGGGGUAUUCGUAUUCCAUUGUCAGAGGUGAAAUUCUUGGAUUUUUGGAAGACGAACUACUGCGAAAGCAUUUACCAAGGAUGUUUUCAUUAAUCAAGAACGAAAGUUAGGGGAUCGAAGAUGAUUAGAUACCAUCGUAGUCGUCAUA
rnacentral:rRNA from 2 species